rfam:Takifugu rubripes chromosome, Chr_17
GACCGCGUGGCCUAAUGGAUAAGGCGUCUAACUUCGAAUUAGAAGACUGAGGGUUUGAGUCCCUUCGUGGUUG